rnacentral:lncRNA from 1 species
UCGUGGCAACAAUGCUGCGAGUUCAUCUAGUCAGUGCCCUACUCCUUAUCCCAUCUCAUUGCUGCAAUUCAUGCCCUCUGUAUUGGUUCUCAGCUGUUUUUUUCACCCACCAAUCAAUAUGCAGGGAGAUCAUGAUUCUAGUUUAAUCUGACAUUCAUUGGUAUGUUCGGUUUACUCAUUGCAAAUUUUACCAUUGUUUAUUACCAAGAUUGCGGAAUUCUUAUGUUUUGUGCUGGGAUUACCCCUUCCCAUGGAUCCUAUCGAAAUUCUUAUGUUUGGUGUCUCUCCCAGAUUGAAUUGUAAUUUCGGUGUGCUAUAUACUGUACAACAUGUUUGGCUAUCUAAGGCAAGGGGAAUGGGAAUUGGUGGCGGUACGGGGGUAGGCUUGGGAACUAGACUUUGACUCGUACACUAUUCGAUGUGAUUUGAGACUACUUGCGCAAAUCAAGAGGGAGUGGAAGGGAAAUUUCACAUAUUUGACCUGAGGCCUAAAUCAAUUCAUAAACUGACCUGCUUUCAAAAAAAAUUCACUCUGCUGACCCUUUCGUGUGGCGCCCGACAGCUGGGCGCCGCACCCUACUGUGCAGCGCCCAUCACUUAGGCGUUGCACAUCCUGCCAGCGUGGCAGCCCUGGUCCAGUUGCGGCCCCACAGACAGCACUGCAGCGCCUAAGACUUAGGCGCCGCACUGUGUAUAUUGCAGCGCCCGUACCUUAGGCGUUGCACGUUGACUUAGGCCGCAUCGGGCCAGACCCUCCCAGGCAGUUCUUCCAGUUGCUCUGUUGUCACAGAGAGCGGCGGCGGCGGCGCCCCCUUCGGAUCCCCCCCACACCCCCUCUCAGAUUUGAAGUUUUGAGGCCUGGAUUCGAUCUCCAAUCCUUCCUAGUACGUAAACUCCUCCGUUCCCUUUCUUUUCCUCCAUAAAAUCGUUCGGUGUUCCAGAUUUAGUUUUUUGAUGUAAUAUUGCAAUUGGAGAUGAUAAGUCAUCCAUCUCAGGAGCCAUUUCCUAGUCUGACCUUCAAAUGUGGAAUCCUUUUCUCAUCAAUGGCAAGUACUUUGAAAACAACUAUCAAAAUUUUAUUUAGUUUUACAAGUAUGCAGAGAGCCGACAAGGCAGCAAUGCUAUUGUUCAAAUGUGGUCAAGGCAGGCUUUCGGUGUUUCAGAAUGAGCACACAUUCAUUGCAACCAAAAGAAUUGGUAGUCAUAUCCGGUAGUAUAUGAUUCUUGUUGUGAUGGAGGAUGUGUAGUCAUAUCCGGUGUUCAUAUCCGGUGUUCAUUCGUUAGGUGGAAACUCUUUCGGUGUUGUGAUGGAGGAUGUGUAGUCAUAUCCGGUAGUAUAUGAUUCUUGUUAGUUAAACCUAGAUUGUUUAUUUUUUUAGAUAUAUAUGAGAUGCCUAGUUUUGUAGAUAAUUAUGAGAUGUUGAGUUUUGUAGCUAUAUGUGAGAUGUUGAGUUUUUUUAGAUAUAUAUUAGAUGUUGAGUGUUUUCCGAUAUUUGAGAUGAACUCAUGUAUGUUUAUUGUUUGAAAUUGUAAGGAUGGUUUGGCUUCUGGACCAUGUCUACGACGUGCAACACCGGUCCUACAUGAUGCGCGAGAAGGAUAAGGUAAUAAUGAGUACUCUAAAUCUUUUGCAAAUUUGCCUUUAGUUGAAAUUUACAUGCCCUAAGAUUUGUCAUUACUUGUUUUUUGCAGAAGCUUGAACCUCUGAAGAUUCGGUAUCACGGGGUCUCUGGUCCUGCCAUGCCUUACGAUGAGCGGUACACACCAUACAUCAAGCAGGCAGGACUACUCCCGUGGAUUCUGUUGGUCAGCCGGUCCACGCCGAAUCUGAACGCUCCACUGGUGUCCGCUCUUGUUGAUCGGUGGAGGCCAGAGACCCACAAUUUCCAUCUUCGGACCGGGGAGAUGACCGUGACGCUCGAGGAUGUCUCGUUGAUCACCGGUCUUGCUAUCGACGGGAGGCCUCUAUGUAUGAGCACCGAUUCUGAUGGGUGGCGCGAGCAGAUGAUUGCUCUUAUCGGUAUGGCUCCUACCGAGGCUGAGGAUGAUGUAGAGGAGGGAGAAGAGAAGAAGAAGAGGGAAAGGAAGGCAGCUGGAGCUGCUUUCACGUGGAUUCAAAAUAACUUUGCGACGUGCCCUCCGGAUGCAACUGAUGAUGUGAUCCAGACACAUGCUCGUGUGUAUAUGUGGUACAUUGUGUCGAGGACUUUGUUUCCUGACUCCACUGGCAAGAACGCUCCAUGGAUGUGGCUGAAGGCGUUGACCGUCUUCGAUAGCAAAUGGAGCUGGGGUUCAGCGACUCUUGCCUACUUGUACCGACAGGUAGUUGGUCUGUUUUGUGAUCAACUCAUUUAUUCAUUAGCAAUGCAAGCUGGCUGUCAAGUUAACAUUGUUUUUCUUUCAUAUGUAGCUGGAUGAUGCGUGUUGCAGGAUCACACCUAGUGCAGGCAUUGGUGGUAAUCUGCUUCUACUUUCUGUAUGGAGCUGGGAGCGUCUGCCUGUUGGACGCCCGAAGAGCAUCAGGUUUGAUCCUUGGUAUGCAGAUGAACAUGACGAAUUAUGGCGCCCCACGUGAGCUUACAAGUGGGAUAUCGUUUCCGAGAUGACGAACGAUGUCAAUCUCAUGUACCAAAAGUACAUUGCCGAGUUGGACACGAUUACGCCUGAGCAGGUAAGGAGGUCAUUACUUUAGUCCUUUCUCAUGCUUGCUUGAAAAAUAGUUAUCAAAUUUGCAUUGUUGCCCUGUUUCAUAGGUGGAAUGGCAGCCAUAUGGCGCGGGUGAGAGCUUGGGGUACACCGCGGAGUUCUGCCUCAACCCGAUGUGCUUGCGGGAUAAGGAUCUCUGGCUUAUGCAGUGCCCAUAGAUAUGCAACUGGGCGGUUGAGUUUCAUUUUCCGCAUCGCGUGUAUCGUCAGUUUGGUCUUUUCCAGCCUCACCCGCCGGAUUGGGUGGACACGGAUAAAGCACUUCAUAGGUAAGAGAGCAUGUGUGCGUAUUGUCUAAUCAUCGGGACUCCUUUUGAUUGUGCUAAUGUUUGGUUUUAUACCAUGCAGGUUGGACAGGAGAAGGCAACGGAAGAUAAAGGACUGGGCCAAGCAUCAUUCUGCGUAUGUUACCCGCUUCCAGCUUUGUGUGGAGCAAGCUCGUAGCACUGCACGCGCCCCGCUUCAUGAGCACAACUCACUUGCUUUUGAUAACUACGUAUGAUGGUUUAUUGGAACUACUCGAGUUGAGAUAUGCCCGCCGGCAUAUAAUGAGGAUAUUCUUGAAGAACCCGUAAACUUUGAGGAUCUAGCAAAGGGGAAGUACAACAGAGAUGUCAGGCUAGGGCAAGGAGUGCCUGCUGUUCCGUCGAUUAACUAUGUGGUAAAGUGUUCCCCUCUUUACUUUCCUGUUGACCGUAUUACACAUGUUUGAAUGGCUAACGCAUUCAUUUUUUCUCAUCCGCAGCGCACCGCGAUCAAGAAAGCAGCUGAUGAGAGCCAGUCUAUUCUGGAGAAGACACCGGUUGGAACUGGCAAUGAUGAUGGUUCACUACGAGCAUUCCUCAAGGUACAUAUCGCAUUCACUAUGAGAGCCAGUCUAUGUUGCGAAGUUUGAUAUCUUACACACUUGUUCAUGUUACAGCGUCAGGCCAAGAAGUUAAGGCGGUUAUCGAACCUUCCCGGUUGUCGUGAUCCUGAAUAUGAUGAACCAUCUGCCUCUAGGUCUGGUACACCAUCAGACCCCGCACCUCACCAUGAGGGGGACGAUGUGAGUUCCUCAUAUGCUUAUGUGGAUGAUGAGGGUGGGAUCACCCAAGAGGUAUGACUAAUCCUUUAGAUGUGAUUCUCACUUGAUUACGACAUCGGCCUUCACCAUAUUGUUUUGUUGUGUGAUAGGGCAAUGAGCUUGAUGAUGACAUGACUUUGGCGGACGCUCAAGCUCGGUCUGCAUAUGUGUUCAAGCCUAGGCAGCCCAGACGCCGGUACACGCCCAACGACUAUGACAACAGAGGCAACCCAAAGGUGGUCGUAGGGACCUCGCGGAUGGCUAGAUUGGAUGAUGAGGCGAAGGAGGAGGCGGAGGCGGAGCCGCAGGCGGAGGAGGAAGUGCACGAAUAGGAGCCUCGUGCUCCUAAAAAGAAGAAGAUUACCUGCAGGCGUGGCACCAGGAACAUGCAUGGAAGGCAUUAGUGCUUUGUGUUAGGUUGAUGAACUUGUGAGGUUAUGUUAUAUGAUGAACUUGUGAACUUGUGAGGUUGAUUAACUUGUGAGGUUAUGUUAUGGUAUUUGUGUUUGCAAACUUGAAGCAAACUUGAAUUGUCUUAAAUGAUGUGAUGUUCAAGUUAUUAGUUCUCUUUGCUUAGCAUGUCCAGUUUAUAGUACUUUUAUUGAUGUUUUAGUUAUUUGAGUGCUGCUGCACCCCACCCAAAAUGGCAUCUGUUUCUGCAGUUUUGCUUAUAGCAACACUGCAGCGCCCAACAUUUAGGCGCUGCACUGUACUGUGUGGCACCCAACUGUUAGGCGCUGCACUGUACAGUGCAGCGCCCUACCCUUAGGCGCUGCACUACUGCCAUGGCUAUCCAUAAAGCCAACAGUUACUCCCAUGGCUACUCCCACUACAUCCAUAAUACUUACAAUGACUGCAGCAUCACAGCAAUAUGAACAAACACAAAUUUUCUGCCGACGAUGUUCAUAACUUAAGAUAAUUCAAACAUUAGUACGACAUGGUUCACGACACAUUCAUUACAAAUGACAAAUGGCAGCUUGCCCUAGAAGAUAGUUCACCAACAUCUCACAUGCCCUGACAACUUCACAACACAUUCAUUAGAAGAUAGUUGACGAGGAGUGCACCGAAGCGAAGUCCCUACUGAGUAGAGCGAGGCCAUUUCCCCUUCUUGUCACGUGCCGAGUCCUCCUCUUGCGCCUCGCGAGCCUUUGCAAGCUUUCUUGCCCUCUCCUCCUCACGAGCAAGUUUCGCUUGGCGUGCCCUCUCCUCCUCUCGUUUCUUCCGCUCCAUCCUCUCCUUCUGACAACGCUCUUCCUCCAAGCCCCUUCGAAACGAUUCUUCGAACCUCCGUUGCCGCCUAAGACAAUCUGCGUAUUGGUCCUCUUUCACAUCUUCUGGCACUUCAAGAUCUAUCCACGUGAAGUACUUGCAUAGAGGAGGCGGUGACUGCAUAAAAAUUUGUUGUUAGUGUUGACACACAUUUCAGAGUAACAUUUUACUUCUCGAGCUUACCGGUGGUUGGUCAUAGGCGUUAGUUGGAAGUGCACGAUCAUAAGCAUAGUUCGGGCAUACAAAAUAUCUCCGCCCUUCCGUCUAUGCUUUCUUUCGGUCGGUGGACACCUUCACCUUGCAAACAUCUGCACACCAACAUUGCAGGAUGUUGACAUCUUUCUCCUUCACCUUGUCCAAAGAUGCAUCCUCCCACUUGUUCGGCAUGUCUUCUUGGUUAGCACACGGUGGCCUCGUCAUGGAACCGGAUGAAGCCAUGCCUACAAAACAGAGAAUUAUUGGUCAACCCUAACCCCCACUUAACAAUGAACACAACCUAAGACCAACAUAACCCUAACACCAACAUCAAACACACAUAACCCUAACCCUAGCAUACUAUGAAAGCCUAACCAUACCAAAUUAGCAAAGAAACAAAAAUUUCCAAAUCCUAUCAAAAACUAGGGUUUCCCCCACACUAGCAAGAUCUGAGCAAAUGUGACAAUUCCUAUGGAUGAAAACGAGGGGAUCGGAGGAGAUUACCUUAAGGGAGGGGAUUGGCUUCGAAAUCCACGGUCAAAUACUCCGGAUCUGAGAAGGAUUUGAGAGGGGGAGAGAGGAGGGCAGAGGGGAGGCACUGAGCUUCGGGUUUGUGUUGAGGGUGGGGGUGUGUGGGGUGAGGAUGGGUGGGAGGGAGUUGGUGCAGCCUAAUAAAUGUCCAGAUGUGCAGCGCCCAAGGGAAAGGCGCCACACUACAAAGUGCAGCGCCUUGCCCUUAGGCGCUGCACACCUGGACAUGCCAGUCCAGAGAGCACCAGGAGCGUUCCAGUAGCUUUACCACCCCGAAAACUGCUAAGUCAGUGUGCAGCGCCCAAAGGCUAGGCGCUGCACCUAACAGUGCAGCGCCUGAGGCCUAGGCACUGCACUGUGUAGUGUGGCGCCCUGACCUUCGGUGCUGCACACGGACUUAGCAGUUUUUGGGGGUGCAAAACCUACUGGAAUGGUCCUGAUGCUCUUUGGACUGGCAUGUCCAUGUGUGCAGCGCCUAAGGGCAAGGCGCUGCAUUGUGUAGUGUGGCGCCUUGACCUUAGGCGCUGCACGCCUGGACAUGCCAGUCCAGAGAGCACCAGGAGCGUUCCAGUAGCUUUUCCACCACAAAAACUGCUAAGUCAGUGUGGAGCGCCUACCCGUUGGGCGCCACACUACAUAGUGCAGCGCCUUGCCCUUCGGCGCUGCACUAACUGAUGUUUUCAAAUACCUACUAUUUUUUUUGUUUUGUGAUUCAUAAAGAUGCCACAUAAUCACAUCCAAAACACAGAAAUACUAGUCCAAAUCACAUACUCAUACACACAUAGCACAUAUACUUGUCCAAAUCACAUAGGGUCUCACAUAAUCAUACACGGAAAUAUUAGUCCCCUCACAUAGUCAUACACACAUAGGGUCUCCAUGUAGUUUCUUCUUCUUCCUCUCUUCUUCUUCUUAUUCUUCUCCCUCCUCGCACCACCAAGGGGUCUCACCUUCCCCCUCCGUGUCCUCCACCCCCUUCAUUGUUUCCAUACCUACGAAAAUGGCAAUAUAAUAGUUAGUCACACAAUACAAAAUGACAACACAAGCAUUGAGCCAAAAGAACAAGAUCAUAGUAAGACACAUACGGCAAUGGUCCAUUGAGCCAAGAGAACAUUCCUCCACUACGGCCGCCGCCAAGGCCAAGAUCACCACCACGGCCUCCACCAGCACCACGGCCUACACCACCACCACCGCGGCCUCUACCACCACCACCACGGCCUCUACCACCACCACCACCACGGCCUCUACCAGCACCACGGCCAAGACCAUCACCACGACCUCUACCACCACCACGGCCAAGACCAUCACCACGGCCAAGACCAUCACCACGGCCAAGACCAUCACCACGGCCUCUACCACCACCACGGCCAGAACCAUCACCACGGCCAAGACCUUCACCACGGCCUCUACCACCACCACGACCUCUUCUAAGACCAAGUUGACUCCCUCUUUGUUGCCUAGUUCCUCGUUGACUUGUUUGAUUUGAGUGGUUUGGCACUCCACCACUUAUUUGACUUGGUUGGCUACCCCUUGGUUCACUUGGUUGGCUAUCAUUUGCUUGGCUUGUGCUUGAACCAUUUUUCUUUGAUCUCUUUCUUGGUUUGGGACAAGUUCUUGUGUUGUGUCCCCCAUUACUGCAACCCCCACAACGGGAUUCCUCACGAGGCUCUUGGAAUUGGCCGGUGCCGUAUUCUCCACCGCCACCAUGGCCCCAUCCGUCCAUGUCACCUCUAAGACGCUUAGUCUUACGUCUUCCCCGGCUAACGACCUUCAAUUCCAGGUCCGGCCAUAGUUGAACUCCAUGAUACUCCGGCCAUUGUGAUUGGUCCAAGUAUGGCUGGAACCGUGGAGUCCAUGUCUUCUUUACCGUCAUGAUUGAGAACUCGGACUCCCUCAUGGUUAGAGGGUGAUUGACGUCCACAUUCCUAACCCGGGAUGCAUUUAACAAGUGCGAGCAUGGGAGAUGAAGCAAAGACGGCCUCAUGCAGCUGCAAUCACACCGUGUUAGGGAGACCUUGAAAGCCCGGCCUCCGUGCUGGCGGCCAUCAUUUGUGGUUCCUCCGGGCUCUUUCACCUCAUACUUCCACUCGUUGUCGUCAUAUAGAACAGCUUCUUCGGAGUCUGCCUUUCAUGAUUGAAAUUUCAACCAUUCUUCAACCUUUGGUGGGAAAUUGUACUUGUGCUUAUCCUUGUUCUCACCAGCAAUCUGCUUAUCAGUCUCCAUUGAGUGCUUCAAAAAGUAUUCAUUCAUCUUGUCAAAUGUGUAUUGAACUAUUGCCGUCACGGGUAAUGCACGUACACCCUUGAGAACCUUAUUGAAGCAUUCUGCCAUAUUGCUUGUCAUUUGACCGUUCCUCCGGCCAUCUUCAUCGAAAGCACGUGCCCACAUAUUCCUUUCGGCAAUGUUCUUAUUGAGAAACUCCUGACCGCCGGGGUCAAGUUUCUUGUGUCUGAGCAAUGCAUUGAACAAUGUGGAAAACCGCUUGUUGGUGAAAGCGAGACAACAAUCCUGAAGAUCAUCGGCCAACUCCUUGAUACCACAUGCCCUAUAGAAGUUUGCACAAAAGUGCCUCAUGCACCAUCGAUGAUGCAACUUUCUAUGUCCGGGAAUGUCAAUCACCACCGCAUUUAGAAUUCCAGCAUGGCGAUCCGAUAUGACACAAAUUUCCCUUUCAGCCGGUAAUACCCUUGUUCUCAGUUGACGCAAGAACCACUCCCAGUUAUCAUUGUUCUCCACCUCAACCAAAGCGAAAGCCAAAGGCAACACCCGGUUAUUGGCAUCACUUGCUAUUGCAACCAAUAAAGUGCCCUUGUAUUGUCCGGUCAAGAACGUGCCAUCAAUGGCGAUGACGGGCCGACAAUGCUCAAAAGCCCUCACGCAUUGCUCAAAGGCCCAAAAUGCACGGCCAAAUACUCGGACGGUCCUCCCGUAAUGAAUCAAAGUUUGGUGCCCAUGAGGCUCAACCACGUGAACCAUGCCUGGGUUUGUGGUGGCCAUAGCUAACAACAACCUAGGGAGUUGGUUGUAUGCUUCCUCCCAAUUGCCAUACAACAUCUUGAAUGCGGCUUGCUUCGCCUUCCAUGCCUUGCCGUACUUCACCUUGUAAUGAAAGAUGUCUUUCACAAGGUCAAUGACACUCUUGAUGCUCAUUAUUGGAAGUGUGGAUAUUUGGUUGGACAUCCUGUAAGCAAUGAACUCGGACGUGAGUUGUCUGUGUUGUUGGUGCACAAGCUUGCCAUUCGCAUUCUUGUGCCGGCACAUGUGAGUUGGUAGACAACUCACUAUGCGCCAAGUGGGACCUCCUUUCCAUGGCCUUGCACGCACAAUCCAUGGACAUGUUGGCACUUCACAUUUGACCGUGUAACGCACAUUAACAUCCGAGUUGGCCACUUUAUGUGGACGAUAAUGUGUAACCGAGUAGUUGUCGAGCCACAUCUUCAAUUCCAAGAAGGAUUGAAACUCACAACCGAGAUAUAUCCCGUUCUUGCCGUCUUCCAAAUCACGGUGAGAACUUGGACUAGCUCCAAGAGAUAUGCAUUUGCCACCAUCCACAACGGCUUCAUCCGCGAGACUAAGAUCCUUGAACAAUGGUGUCUUGUGAUCCCGCCCCAAUACCUUCUUGAAUGCUUCGGCCUCCUUUGGCGUGAACCCCUCCUCAUCAACUUCUUCAUCGGGACCAUCGUCAUCCAAGUCCGAUGCAUAUGCACGGGAAAAAGGGAUGGAUUGGUCCAUUGUCUCUUGCACAUGAUAUUGGUCGAGAUCACCCACAUUGUUGUCAUGGAGGUCAACUUCGUUGUCAUCCUCCUCGUACUCAUCAUUCUCCUCUUCAAAACCUUCAUUUUGGUUGUUUGGAGUCGGGCUCAAUGUUGGCCAAUCUUGUUGCGUGAAUUGAGGUUCACUCAUUUGAUCUUGGUUCAUGGGUGGGGGAGUGCUAGGAACCAACGGGGAGGGGCUCCGGUUCAAGUCUAAAUUCAAAGUAGACUCAACCUUCUUGGAGACAAAUAACUCAAGAGCCUUGUCUAGAGAUUCGGCAACCGUCUCCUUGUAUGCAACCCAACGUUGCUCGGAGUUCACACGCAUUGUCUUCCAACGGAUGUGCAUUCCAAAACCAACAUUAUGCCUUCCCUCGAACUCAACAACGUCACUUGGGUCCGUCCAAUUCAAAUCUUUCCUCACUUGUUCCAAAAGCUCCGCAUAGCUAGGACUACUCUCAAACACCAUGUCAAGCUCAUUCGGGUCCGUCUCAACAUUGCCUUUCAAAAAGGCCUCUCUAUCCACAUGAUGAACAUAAACACAUGUUCUCCCCAUCCCUACAAUAAUCAAAAACACACAUAUAUCAAGUAAAUACUUAAGAAAAAUAUUUGCACACAUAUGCCCUAACAUAUAAAACAACCAUAACCAUAGCAUAACCCUAACACCAACAUCAAACACACAUAACCCUAACCCUAGCAUACUAUGGAAGCUUAACCAACCCAAGUUAGCAAAGAAACAUAACAUCAUUCAACACAAAUUUGCAAAUCCAAGUCAAAACUAGGGUUUCCCCCAAACUAGCAAGAUUUGAGCAAAUGUGACAAUUCCUAUGGAUGAAAACGAGGGGAUGGGAGGAGAUUACCUUAAGGGAGGGGUUGGCUUCGAAAUCCACGGUCAAAUACUCCGGAUUUGCAAGAUUUGAGAAGGAUUUGAGAGGGGGGGAGAGGGGAAGAGAGGAGGGCCGCAAGCCUUAGGGUUUGGGUGGGGUGGGGGUGUGUGGGGUGGGGGUGGGAGGGGAGAGAGGGUGGGGCCAGCCCAAGUGGAACACAGACUGUGCAGCGCCCACGAGCUAGGCGCUGCACAUUACAUGUGUGGCGCCUAAGACUUAGGCGCUGCACAGGUGCGUGUGGGGCCGCAGCUGGACCAGGGCUGCCACGCUGGCAGGAAGUGUGGUGCCUAAGUGAUGGGCGCUGCACAGUAGGGUGCGGCGCCCAGCUAUCGGGCGUCACACCGAAGGGUCAGCAGAGUGAAUUUUUUUUGAAAGCAGGUCAGUUUGUGAAUUAAUUUCUGCCUCAGGUCAAAUAUGUGAUUUCUGCCGGAGUGGAAGUGGCAAUCAAAAAACUGUGAAUCUGAAACCAGCAAACUGUCACAACAUAGAAAGGUAGUGUCAAUGUUCCAAUAAUUCACACUGAUCUAGCACUAACAUCUGACAUAGUUUUUAGUGACAUAAACAAAGGGACGAGGCCAAGUUUACAACACAUGAAGAACAUCACUUGCAAAUGAAGACAUGCAGAGCAUGGCUGAAAAGGAGAGAGACAAUUACAUAUUGACAACGCAAGAACAACAUACUUGACUCAGGAUGAUGAUAAUGUCAAUAUUAGAUUGCCACUGGUUGGGUAAAGUGGACAAGAAAAAGCAUUAGUCUGUCGUUGCACAUAUCAUUUGGCCUAAUUAAAUACGGCAGCUCUGAUAGUGUUUAAGCACAUUCACACAACUAGCAGACCAUUAAUAAAGAACCAAUUUUAUUGUAGGCCUUCUCUUUUCGUGAGAUGACAGAUAUGCGUCUUCUUUUUGUGAUAUGACAGAUAUGUUUUAGCUAUUCUACAUUAAUUUUUUGUGCAAUGCUGCUAGUACUUUCUGAAGUCUGAAAUGUUUUCUUCGUUCAGGGUUUGAGCUUUGUAAACAAGCUGUAUAGCAGAGUUGGAGUAUACUCACAGUACUGCUGCUGUUUAUAAAUACAUCCGAAAGAUGUAGCAUUAGUUAAUUUCACCUCAUGCCUACUUAAUGAUUAUUGAGAUAUAAAAUGAUGUCUGCUAUAAAGUACUCUACUACUCCAACUGUAUGCUUGCUUAAACAAUUGCAUAUGAACUGUGUGUGAAAAUAGAGGGACAAAGCAGCCAGAUAACAAACAGGGGGGGUCUUUUCUCUAUUUUCUUUGGUAUUUCUUUAGUUCAAAUCCAAAUGUUAACAACCAAGUUCAAUUUUUUAGGGACAGUCUUUAAAGUCAAAGGAGUCAGAGCCGUACAAAAAAAGUAAGUCUAUUAAGACUGUUAUUAGCACUAAAUUGUAACCUUCACUAUUUUUUGCCAACUAUUUAAUUCUACAUGUUGAUAGGACCUAUCUAGUUGAGUAUGGUGGCCCUAUAUUUGUAAUUGGUAUUAUAGAAGACGAGGAGAUUGUAUUAUUUGGUUGAAUAUUUUAUUACUGUAAUGGAAUCACCUGAUAGUGCAUUAGUAAUGCUUAUGAUGUUUUCUUCAGGUGAUAUGGUGGGAUACAUUGGUUCUUUGUCGUCAACAAGGUUUAUCCUUAAGGGGAAAAGGUGUGGCUCAUACCUUAUGAUUUGGUUUUAAAUGUGUAUCCAUUCAGUUUCCUGUGCCACAUAUGUGAAUGUUCCAGGAAUUUUUUUUGAUGUAAUUGUUUCUCUAUCUUUCUCCAUAUAGCAGUUUUGAGUGGGAGGGUCUACUGAUAGAAAAGUAUUGUGACAUAUGAUGAACAUGAGUUGCUAUAGAGAGUUUGCUGUAACUGGUAACAAGUAUAAGCUUCCUUACAAGAUUCAGGGUCAAACUUGUCUGGAUUUUGCCCUAUUUUGAAUGCAGGAUUUUCAUGUCUAUUUUUUCAGGAAACCACACAUCCAGCAGGAGUGAGUAUAUGUUUCCUUUUGUAUGUAAUUCUUAGGGUCCAAACAGGUUAUAGGGAGAAGUAGAUCUGAUGCAAUGAUCAUGAGAACCAUCCCCUCUUUGCAAUUACAUAUAAAAUAUCCAAAACUUGAUGUGUGUCAUUUUAUCCUAGAACAAAGAAACUAUGGUUCAUAAUGGUGGCAGUGCACGACAACUAGAAAAAUGUUCUGUUGCACACAAGGUAUCUUCAUAAUCUCAUAUACCAAAUUAUGAUCAUACUAUAGUGCUCCCAUGUUUAUGUGUUUACUUGUUGCUAUCAGAAUGUUGUCCAGAACCAAGAAACUUCUGAUCAGAAUUUUAGUGCAUGGCAAAGGGAAAUAAGUUCUGCUGCACAUAAGGUAUAUUUCCAUUACCAUACACAAUAUGUUCAAAAUAUAUUGCUUCGAUGGUUAUGUAUCUAAGAAACUUUGGUUGAGAAUAUUAGUGCACGUCAGGGAGAAAAAACUUAUACUGCAAACGAGCUGUAUAUUUUCACAAUCACAUACAAAUUUGUGUUCAAACUGUAGUGCUAGCUUGUUUAUUUGUUUAUCACUAAUUCUUUGCUGUCAGAUUGUUGUCCAUCCAGACCAAAAAAACAACGAAAGGUGCUAAUGCAGGGAGUAAGAGUGCUCAAAGUGGUUCUCCGAGUUGGUUGGUUACCAGUGUACUACAUGUAAGCUCAAACUCAUUUAAUAUGUUCCCCUAUUUUGUUUUGUUUUUUCAUAUGGUAACUUUGAUUUUCUCUAACAGGUAGGAACUAAAGUAUUCUUGAAGAGCCUGAAAAAUCAUUCCAAAUAGCGAGAAUUAGGAUUCUUGAUCCCUCUCAAUCUCUCUUUCAAAUCGAGGAAAUCAGGGAAAGGAUCCUUUCUUCUAUUGAUUUGAUAAAAAUUCGAGGAAUGACGUUCGUAUUGGCUGAUGUUCCUCGGUUAAGUGUUAAUUUAAGUUGUAGGGAUGUUGAUGGAUGUUUCCAGUUUAAGUUUCGAUGCCAAGAAAAUAGUUAGAUUAUGCAUCACAUUUGGAUGAUGUUCCUCCUGUAAUAUCCACUGUUGUAAUCCAACAGUUUUAUCAAAUAUAUGAUUUCUUCCUCUCGUGAAUAUAUUCUCUUAUUU